rnacentral:rRNA from 1 species
AGAAUCAACGCUGGCGGCGUGCCUAACACAUGCAAGUCGCACGAGAAAGGGUAGCAAUACCUGAGUAAAGUGGCGCAUGGGUGAGUAACACGUGAAUUAUCUACCUCCGAGUGGGGAAUAACUGAGAGAAAUCUUAGCUAAUACCGCAUAACACUUACGAGUCAAAGCAGCAAUGCGCUUGGAGAGGAGUUCGCGGCAGAUUAGUUAGUUGGCGGGGUAAUGGCCACCAAGACGAUGAUCUGUAUCCGGCCUGAGAGGGCGCACGGACACACUGGAACUGAAACACGGUCCAGACUCCUACGGGAGGCAGCAGUGGGGAAUUUUGCGCAAUGGGGGAAACCCUGACGCAGCAACGCCGCGUGGAGGAUGAAAUAUCUUGGUAUGUAAACUCCUUUCGAUGGGGAAGAUUAUGACGGUACCCAUAGAAGAAGCCCCGGCUAACUUCGCGCCAGCAGCCGC